rnacentral:rRNA from 1 species
GACGAACGCUGGCGGCGUGCUUAACACAUGCAAGUCGAACGGAAAGGCCCUGCUUUUGUGGGGUGCUCGAGUGGCGAACGGGUGAGUAACACGUGAGUAGCCUGCCCUUGACUUUGGGAUAACUUCAGGAAACUGGGGCUAAUACCGGAUAGGAGCUCCUGCUGCAUGGUGGUGGUUGGAAAGUUUCGGCGGUUGGGGAUGGACUCGCGGCUUAUCAGCUUGUUGGUGGGGUAGUGGCUUACCAAGGCUUUGACGGGUAGCCGGCCUGAGAGGGUGACCGGCCACAUUGGGCCUGAGAUACGGCCCAGACUCCUACGGGAGGCAGCAGUGGGGAGUAUUGCACAAUGGGCGGAAGCCUGAUGCAGCAACGCCGCGUGCGGGAUGACGGCCUUCGGGUUGUAAACCGCUUUCGCCUGUGACGAAGCGUGAGUGACGGUAAUGGGUAAAGAAGCACCGGCUAACUACGUG